UACGGGGGGGGCAAGCGUUGUUCGGAAUUACUGGGCGUAAAGGGCGCGUAGGCGGCACGGCAAGUCGGGAGUGAAAGGCCUGGGCUCAACCGAGGAACUGCUUUCGAGACUGCCGAGCUAGAGUGCGGAAGGGGCAACUGGAAUUCCCAGUGUAGCGGUGAAAUGCGUAGAUAUUGGGAAGAACACCGGAGGCGAAGGCGGGUUGCUGGGCCGACACUGACGCUGAGGCGCGAAAGCCAGGGGAGCAAACGGG
rnacentral:rRNA from 1 species